rnacentral:rRNA from 1 species
AUUGAACGCUGGCGGAAUGCUUUACACAUGCAAGUCGAACGGCAGCACGGACUUCGGUCUGGUGGCGAGUGGCGAACGGGUGAGUAAUGUAUCGGAACGUGCCCAGUCGUGGGGGAUAACGUAGUGAAAAUUACGCUAAUACCGCAUACGAUCUAUGGAGGAAAGCGGGGGAUCGCAAGACCUCGCGCGAUUGGAGCGGUCGAUAUCAGAUUAGGUAGUUGGUGGGGUAAAGGCCCCCCAAGCCAACGAUCUGUAGCUGGUCUGAGAGGACGACCAGCCACACUGGAACUGAGACACGGUCCAGACUCCUACGGGAGGCAGCAGUGGGGAAUUUUGGACAAUGGGCGAAAGCCUGAUCCAGCCAUUCCGCGUGCAGGAUGAAGGCCCUCGGGUUGUAAACUGCUUUUGUACAGAACGAAAAGGUUUCUACUAAUACUAGGAGCUCAUGACGGUACUGUAAGAAUAAGCACCGGCUAACUACGUGCCAGCCGCCGCCGUAA